AGCUUCGAUUAAUUUUCACAUUCCCAUACAAGUACAUUGAAUGCUUUAAAAAUAAAUGAACCCGUACACAAUCCGGUACAUGUGUAUCCGUUUGCGGUGGCGGUGACUUCCAAAAAAGAAAAAAAACAGCAACAAAUGUACCAUAUCAAUUGCUGCCUGAGUUUUUGUGACAGUGUGCGAGAGUGAUAUGUGUGUGCAUUGGCGUACGAAUAAUCUGAAACAAAUAGCGGCCUUCUGUCCCAGCGACAACAAGACAAUUACUGUAAAUAGGUGAAAUAACAAGACAACCAGCAGUUGCACAAAUAUUAAAAAGGCACACAGACUGACAGACCAACCAAAGGUAUUACGGUAAUCAAUGUCAAACGCUGCCGAUUUUGUGAGUAUUUAUGUGUGCGUCUCUGUGUUCACUCCAGCCGAAAACAACAACACCUUCGCUUCGGAAGAGCGACACACACGCUCCUAUCAAAUCGCUUGGAAAGAGAGAGAGGCACAUAGAGCGGACUCGAACGAUGCGCGUCAAAUGUCAAAAUCGAGAAGAACAACAAAAACCAUUAUCGAAGCGACCUAGUGUUGUUCUACUUGAGAGAGCGUUUUUCGAAUAAAACGAACAUAUUUGAAAGCUAAAAUAAUAUUUACUUUUCCUAUUUAUGUUUCAUAGUUUUGUGGACUUAAAGCGCAAGUAAACUUUUUCGAAAUGCCAGCACACACAUACCAUUUACCUAUUAUACAAGCAUACAUAUAUAUUUAUAUAGAUAUAUAUAUGUAUAUACAUGGCGGAUAUAAAAAAGCACCACUUGUUGUUGGCUUGAUUGAAUGCAGUGCGUGCGAGCGGGAUGGCAAGUUGUAGUUCGCCAAAGCAAGUUGGAUAUAUUACGCACUGGAUUUGUGGAUUUACACUGGCAAUUGGUAGGCGGUGGCGAGUAAUGCACGUAUUCCCCUUAAUUAACAGUUUUCUCUACAAUUAAUAAUGUAAUCUCUUUAACAAAAACUCAGAAAUCACGUCAUGGCUGCCACGUCCAAGCAACAAUGAAUGUAAAUGGUGGCAGACGAGGCCGUCUGGGUAUUCUCGACGAGCUCCAAAAGGGGCACACUAUUUUUCUGGUGAUACCGUCGCACAUCCAACGAUAACACUGCAUAUACGGUAACACCACAAUAAGUAUGAACUAAAUUUAAUUUUCCAUAGAUUAUAUUUGUCACUUGACAAUUCACAGAGUCAUCCGCUCUUAACUUUCGACCAAAACAACCAUAUAAAACAUAUGUUUUGAUGAGUGAGCGGGACGUCUAUAUUGCCUGCAUUCGCGAAUGGAGGGAACACAAAAAUGCAAUAAAAAAUAUGUGUGGAAUGGAGGAGGCGCAAAAGGCCCGAAAAAAACGCGCCACACAUGUACAAAUUUCAUCAAUUGCUGUAAUACAUAUAAAUUAUAACGAGGUAAAGCAAUGACAA
rnacentral:sRNA from 1 species